rnacentral:rRNA from 1 species
ACCAAGGCAACGAUCCGUAGCUGGUCUGAGAGGAUGAUCAGCCACAUCGGGACUGAGACACGGCCCGAACUCCUACGGGAGGCAGCAGUGGGGAAUAUUGGACAAUGGGGGCAACCCUGAUCCAGCCAUGCCGCGUGUGUGAAGAAGGCCCUCGGGUUGUAAAGCACUUUCAGCGAGGAAGAACGCCUGGCGGUUAAUACCCGCCAGGAAAGACAUCACUCGCAGAAGAAGCACCGGCUAACUCCGUGCCAGCAGCCGCGGUAAUACGGAGGGUGCAAGCGUUAAUCGGAAUUACUGGGCGUAAAGCGCGCGUAGGUGGCUUGAUAAGCCGGUUGUGAAAGCCCCGGGCUCAACCUGGGAACGGCAUCCGGAACUGUCAGGCUAGAGUGCAGGAGAGGAAGGUAGAAUUCCCGGUGUAGCGGUGAAAUGCGUAGAGAUCGGGAGGAAUACCAGUGGCGAAGGCGGCCUUCUGGACUGACACUGACACUGAGGUGCGA